rnacentral:misc_RNA from 1 species
AUAAAGUAUCGAGUGAUUAUCAUUAUGAGAAUAUAUAUAUAUAUAGCAGAUAGAGUUCAGUUAGGAUUACAACUGGUAGAUAUACACUACAAGGAGAGGAUAUGCUUGAGUUGAUAUAUACAAAGGAUAGAUAAUCCUCAUCAAUGGUAGCUAUUUUUGUAAAAAUUAUAUUUUUAAAAAAAUGUAUAUGAAAUAAUUGUGAAUUAUAUAUGAACCGUGUUAU